AGGUCGGACAAGCUCGUUGGCCACAUUGGGUAGCUGCCGCCCUCUGCUGAGAUUGUUCACACCAUGGAUGAGAUCUCCAACACUGUUUGCUCGGUCAUUGAUUCGGCGGAGCUGUGCAGGGACACGCACUCAGAUAGGGAGUUUACGGAGGAAGUAGAUAAGGCAUCAAUGACGAAUUAUGAGGAUCUUCAAGUAAGGUCUAUAACAUAAAUGGCAUCUGUGAAAAGGGAGAGAGCAGAGUGAAAUGACCAAACCAGAACGGUAACAUUCAUUUUCUGUGAUUUUCUGCAGUACCUGAACACAUAU